UGUUCCUUGUUGACUAUUUAGGGGAAAUGAGCCCUAUACUUCUCAGUUUGUCACCAGCCAAACUUGAGGAUGAGAGCUGACGGUAGAGAAGGAAGCUUAGAAUCUAGUUUGCUUGGUAUGGACCUAAGUGAAUUUUUUGACUUAAAGAUAUGGGAAUUGGUUAAUAAGAGUUCAAAAAGUGGCUAAAGGUGACCAGGAUGCGCGGGAGAGGCUGGAAAAAGAUUAACUACAGCUGAAACGAAGCAGAACAUGGUGCCAAAAAUAGACCAUAACAGAGUGCCGAAAACAGCAGAUCUGCACAAAAAUGGAGUAGAUCUGUGUGCACAAAAUAGAGUCAGUAUGUGCGCAAAAACAGAGCAAAUCUGCAGUCAAGAACAGAGCAGACUUGCACACAAAACAGAGGAAAAUAGUGUAGGAUACAAAUCAGAACUGCAUGCAAAAAUAGAGCAGAAUGAGGCAUGGAAAACAGAGUAAAAAUGAAGCAGCAACGGCUGAAACAGACUGAUACACUCCGAAAAAUCACAACAGCAGCGGAUACCCAACCCCAAGCACAGUAACUGUUUGGUCCCAAUCAAAGCUUGAAGAAAAUAAGAAAAAGACUUUCUGCUAGAGGUGAGAAAGAAACCAGAAUUUGAUUUAAAUUUUUACUUACUUUCUAUCUAAAGUUUCAGGCUUUAAAUAGCCAACAAGAGAUUACAAGAUAAUGGUAAAUUCCUACAUUUACGACAUGAAAAAUAAAGGAUAAAGAUCGUGGAUCACUUCAGUUGUGGGGAGUUGCUGAUGUGGAGUGGAGCGGUUCUUCAGUUGGAGGUGGAUAAGUGAGACCAAUUUUGUAGGUGUGCACGUGCUAUUGACCAUGCUCCAUCAAGGUACUUUGGGUUCUUUGGGGGGAUACGUUGGUAAGCUUGUAAGAGCUGUGGUUCAGUAAGACUGAGGGGUAGGACUACCUGUGCUUAUAGUAAUCAAUCCAUUUCUUGCCGUAAAUCUGUAAAUCCCGACGUAUCCCCACAAAGAACCCAAAGUAUCUUGAUGGAGCAUGACCAGGUCAACAACGCGUGCACACCUACAGAAUUGAUCUCACUUAUCCACCUCCAACGGAAGAACUGCUCUACUCCACAGCAGCAACUCCCCACAACAGAAGUGAUCCACGAUCUUUCUCAUUUGGAUUGUAGUGGAACGUUGUCAAACCGUCCCUAGCAUUUUAGAAUGUUGCCGCUUGCCACUUUUACUGGAAACGGGGCCGUUGGAAUGAUCGGAAGCCGUAAUCGGCUUGCCACCUUUUCGCAAAUGAAGUUGUGCAUGGAGCCACGAUCGAUGAGAGCAACUGCUUCCUGAUGUCCGAUGGUGGCGGUGACUCGCAUGGUGCGAGCCGGUGUUCAGACCAUGAGAGUGUGCAAGGAGAUUUCGGGUUCGGGACCCUCUGCUUUUUUGUCUUCCUCACUGACUCCUUCAAGUAGCAGGAGCUACGGUAUGCUACAAUGGUGGCUAGCCAUGAAGCGCUCGUUGCUGUUGAAGCACAACCCUUGUGAUCUUCGUCGUUGCAUCUUUUCUCAAGUGAGCCUCUUUGGCGCUAUGUUCGUGGCGGCGGUUUGUGGAAGAGGCUCGGGUAAAGAUGACGGAUUCUGGGUAGGUUGGGUUUCCCGGGUCAGGUCAGACGAUUUUUUUGACCCACCUAUUCUUCCCGCAUUCAAGUCAGGCCUAUGGCAUCUCUGAGUGUCCUGGGCUUGAACAUCUGAAUCCCAUCAGCUAUCUCAGGCUUGAGCCCACCAAUGAAGGCUCCAACUAGGGCCCGCUGGGGCCACCCAUGGACUCUGUUGCCUAAUUUUUUGAACUCCCUCUGAUAAUCACAGAGUGGGCCGGUCUGACGGAUGUGGGCCAGAGCUUCAUCAAAGUCUUCAAACUCGGUUGGCCCAAACCGCGCCCACAGCUCCUCUUCAAACCCAGUCCAGGUGGUAGGCGGUAAGAGACACCUUGUGUUGCUCGGUGGUGCCUUGAUAGGAGAAGAAUUGGUCGAUCCAGCAUACCCAUUCAGUCGAGUCACCCCCGGCAGAGACCGAAAACUCCAGCUUGGCGAGUUUGGAAUAAAAUGGGUUGCUGUUGUUCUCUUCAGGUAGUGGAUUUACGUCGCGGUUUGUGAGAGACGAGCUGGGAUGAAGGGGGUGGUGGCUACUGGAGCCUUCUUUACCAGAUGCAAUGGAGUUGGUGAGUCAUUGGAUGGAUUCUUCAAGCGCUUGAAAUCAAUCGACCAUUCCGGUUUUUAUUCUAAAUCCGUUUUUUAUUAGUCAUCAUAGUAAUCUACUUUGAUACCAAUGUUUGGUCCCAAUAGCUUGAAGAAAAUAAGAAAAAGGCUUUCUGCUUAAGGUGAGAAAGAAACCAGAAUUUGAUUUAAAUUUUUACUUACAUUCUAUCUAAAGUUCUAGGCUUUAAAUAGCCAAUAAGAGAUUACAAGAUAAUGGUAAAUUCCUACAUUUAUGCCAUGAAAAUUAAAGGAUAACGAUCGUGGAUCACUUCUGUUGUGGAGAGCUGCUACUGUGGAGUGGAGUGGUUCUUCAGCUGGAGGUGGAUAAGUGAGACCAAUUCUGUAGGUGUGCACGUGCUGUUGACUUAGUCAUGCUCCAUCAAGAUACUUUGGGUUCUUUGUGGGGAUACCUUGGGAUCUAUGAAUCCUAAUAGUAACCGCCUCCCAUGAUUCAAUCAAAUAGUUGAAGAAGAAUUGCCAUGAUGUCAUGAUCUCCAUCAGUUUCUGUAGGCAAUUUCUUUUAUCCCUAAAUUAAUGUUCAUGUCCUGAAUAGCAGGAGCAGUUCUGUGUUUACAGUUAUGUUGUCUUGUAUUUAAACAUGCAAGUAUCAAGUGAAUGUAUGUCUUUUAUUAUCAAUGAAAA